UGAACACAGCCAAGCUCAGAGCUUGGGAAAAUUUAAUAUGCACCACCACAGACCUGCAAGCAUGAGCUAAAGGAAUUUAGGAGUGCUGGAGAGGAGGAAUGGUAAACUGAAAACUCAGCCAUUUAGCCACUGCAAAUGUAAAGGACAUGCUUUCAUUAAUUACUAAGAAGUGCCGAAAGAAUGAGUUCCUGAGAAAAACUGUCUGCUCAGGUUCCUCUUGUUGUCCAAUCAUUCCUUGCUUCAGUCUCUGCUCACAGGAUUCUGCGCCGGGCUGCCCUGGCCCAUGACCGAGUGCACGACUCAUCCCUUUCCCAGGGAGGCAGAUGUUCCCCCGGUCUCUGCAGUGCUGAAGACUGGAAACUAGCUCCUCCUAUGAUAUCUAAUCUUGAUCCAGCUGGCAGCUCCUAUCCAACAAUAAAGGUUAGCACAGGCCCUUGCUAGCUUGAGGA
rnacentral:lncRNA from 1 species